rnacentral:tRNA from 1 species
UAGUUCUCAUAGUUGA